AGGACUGGUUUGGGCGCUGGCCCUAACCAGCCCCUGUUUCAGCCCCUCUCUCCCUCCCUCUUGAUCUCUCUCUCGAUCUCGAUCAGUCUCCCACUCUCUCUCUCCCUCUUCCUCUCCAACUCGGAGCUCGACGAAGAGAGCCUCAACGAGCACAACCAGGUGUGGAUCGGCUAGAGUACGGAUCUGGUCCGUACGCUUAGGGAUUGCAUUCAGUCCAUCCAUAAGCCGAGAAAAGCAGAAGAGAAAAAGCAGUAGUGUGCAUUGCAAUAUGUCAAGAUGUUGGCUCCAUCUUGAGUAGAAACUGAAUCAGGUAUCCAUGUGCCUAGGCCCUUCAGUUUUUGGAGAAAAUAGGACAAUCUUGAGCUCUAUUUUUAUGUUUUGAAAAGUAUGUUGUUGGGCUUUAUCUGUUUCUUCUCAGUAGUAGCAAUUUAUUGUGUCAGAGAAACAUCUCUACCCAUAUAGAUUUGAGAGGCUGACUUGUCAUCAACCAUGAAAUCUUGAACAUUGUAAUUUGUGAUUUGGCUCUGGAAAUUGGGCUGUUUGGAUGCCUGAGCAAAUUGAAUUCCAGACAUUCAGUUUUUUUUAAAAAUGUUGUUUCCUACCGUUGACAAGGGAGUAGUGCACGUGCAAAGUGAAAGUAACAGAAUUGCAAUUUGGAGCUCAAGCUAAAGUGAGCAAGACAUUUUAUACAAAUGUUCCUGAUGAAUGCAUGCAAGCUGUUGAAGAUCUGGUUGUUCCAAGGACUUAUCCUCUUCUCGUUGUCCUCUUCUCAUUGUCUUUUCGAAUUUUGAUGUUUGGAAAAAAAAAAAAUAAUAAGGGCAAUUUAAAUAGCAAGAGAGCAAUCAGAUGCGUUUUUUGGCAAUGUAGGAAUUUUUCUGUGGAAAUAGGAAAUAUGUGCAGUUACUCUUUGUUUUGUAGCGAUUAUUUUCAAUUGAGGCAUGCAUUAACUCAAAAUAAACUGAUUAAAUAAGUGUAGUUUUUUGUUCACAUUGCAUCUAAAAUGCGACCUUACAAUUUGGACUA